rnacentral:rRNA from 1 species
UCAAAUCAGGUAGGACUACCCGCCGAACUUAAGCAUACAU